rnacentral:misc_RNA from 1 species
AAAACUGGGCACAUGCAAAACUGAUGUAAGAUUCAUAAUAGGAGUGUAUUCAACAAAACCUAUUCCAGAUAUAUUGGCUAAGAAUUCGCUCGCUAUGAGCCUAUGAGGACUUUUUCUUUUCCUAAACACGAGGAAUAGGUUAUAAAUUUAUUUUAAGAGCCUGUCGUAUGCUUGUUUACACCAAAAUCUAUAACCCAAAGAGAUUUUUUAAGAUAAGCAAGAAAAGCAUCACCUAAUUUAACAAAAUUAAAA